UACCAGCUCUCCGAGUGGUGAGGAUGUUUAUUGGGCCUAAAGCAUCCGUAGCUGGCUGGGCAAGUCCCCUGUUAAAUCCACCGAUUUAAUCGUUGGUGUGCGGGGGAUACUGUUCGGCUAGGGGACGGGAGAGGCCGACGGUAUUUUCGGGGUAGGGGUGAAAUCCUAUAAUCCCGGGAAGACCACCAGUGGCGAAGGCUGUCGGCUAGAACGCGCCCGACGGUGAGGGAUGAAAGCUGGGGGAGCGAACCGGAUUAGAUACCCGGGUAGUCCCAGCUGUAAACGAUGCAGGCUAGGUGUUUGGGCGGCCACGUGCCGCUCUAGUGCCGCAGAGAAGUCGUUAAGCCUGCCGCCUGGGGAGUACGGCCGCAAGGCUGAAACUUAAAGGAAUUGGCGGGGGAGCACCACAAGGGGUGAAGCUUGCGGUUU
rnacentral:rRNA from 1 species